AGUUGCUUGUAAGUGACUGUAAUGUGUAUUUACCUGUUUCACCAAACUGAUAAUGCAGUUUUGCACAUGUAACUGUGCAUGUGUCUUACAGUCAAUAUCCCUUAUAUAAACAAACAAACACAAACAAACUGAUUUUUUCCGAAGUGUUAACUGUUCUUGCACUUUUCUGGUUUGGAUAUCUAACAAAAUCUGUUGCCUGUUGUGUUACAGCAAAUUCUUAAUAUCUUGUUAGAUGCUUUUUGAUACUUGUGUUUUGCUUUGUUGGGGGUUUAUUUUACUGGAGUCAAAAUGUUUUGAAGUUUGGGUUUGCCAAUUCUCCUGUUAUGUUGAGCUGUUUGGAAAGAAUCUUAAGUUCUCAUUAGAAUGAGAAAAUAUUUAAAUGUUUAAAUGCUGCAGCUGUUAUCUAGCCUUCAAAUAGAAGUAGCUUUUGGAAAGAGCUAUUUUGAACAUGCCUUGACAAGGAUAAGCCUGCUCAUUUUAUACAAGAGUUCACUGUGUGCUUGAGGCAUACAGUAAGGCAAAACCAAGUCUUUUGCAUAGACUAAAAGAAAAAAUUCUAGCUAUCUUGUGCUGAGCCAGAGUAGCUCCAGCACUUCAGUCUGAUGAUGUUCUGUUUUCCCUGGAAAAGGCUGCAUGAGCAUGAGAAGAGACUUCCCACAUCAUAUUCCGAGCUGUGGAGUAGGCACUUCCAGGAAAAGCCUGUGAUUUCCUUGUACCCAGCCUGAUUUUCUGCGUAGACCUUCUGUUCCUGAGCCCUUGUACAUGCCAGGUGCCAGGACACUGCAUCUGUCUCAAGCUGAUUCCACACAAUUGUUCCAGCAGCUGAAAUGACCAGCAUGGGUUGAAGUGUGGAUGCAUGUCAAGAGUUUUCCCUGACAGACUUAACUGGCUGAAGGUCAUUGGCCUUUAAAGGUACCAUGUCCUUAGUGUUGGCUCUCAAAAGAUGCCCUGGAGCUGUUCCAGCCCAGCCCUGCUAUGAGGAACUUGAGAUGGGAGAAUGAAUCAGGCACUGAAAUGGCUUUGCCAAUUCCUCUUUUCUAUCAUAUCAGUCACCCAAAGCCUCAUAUCUUUCAGAAGAACUGGGAUGUUGCUGUUGAGACAAAGAUCAAAUUCAACAGUGCCGGCAGGCUUUGGUGUUGCCCUGAUAAUGUGCACUUCCUAAUGUGUGUGGAACAAGAAUAGAACAAUGAAUGACGGUUAGCAAUGGAUUCCAUUUGGUGGGGCUUCCCUCAAAAGGGCACAGGAUGAACACAGCCUGACCAGGGAGGGUGACAGGGGAAGGAAGGUCACCCAGCAGCAUCAGCCCAUACAGCAGAGAAAGGACUGAAUGGAACUGCAGGAGCCCUGGAGGAUGUUGGCAUGGGUACCUGAUAAUGACCAGUCUUCGCGAGCGAAGAUCCAGGGAAGGUCUUUACACCUUCCAGCCUGCGCAUUGGAUUUUUUAGGUGAGACACAGUGUGCGCGGAACUGAGCCCACCCUUUAAUCCUAAGGUUCAUCUGCCGGGGCCAAGCGAGCUUGGACGGUGGCAGCGAGGUCCUUAGGACGUAGGUGGGUUGCCUUUAAGGGCUAACGAGCCCCACCUGCCCGGGAGUGGCCCUGACCGGGAAUCGAACCAGGGUCUCCGCGGUGACAGCGCCACGCCUUUACCACUAGACCACCAGGGGCUCCACAGGUACCUACCAAAAUGUUUAUUACCUGGAGAAGGCAGAAAUCUUGAAUUCCCUCCCCGACCCCCACCCUGUCAGCUGCAGACCAAGUCCCAGCCACGAUCACAAGAACAUCCUGAAUCAGUGACAAUAAUUUGCAUUUCCUUGCCAAAGAUUUUAUCUUCUGGGUGUGCAAAGUGCAACACCGAGGCUGCUGGUGUUUAAAAAUCUGCCCCCUUUUGCUCCCCAGCUCUACCUUUUCCAGCAAGGUUAAUUUAUCCAGAAAAAUUAAUGGAGGCAACAAAGCUGUCAAGUGAGAAAGGCUACACAUUGAGACAGGACCACUGUGAACAUCUGCACAAUUUGUAUGUUUGAUUGGGUACCUCAGCACUGGCAGAUUAUUGUUGUUAGAAGCAAAUCUUACUCUCGUCAUUCUCAUACAAGACUCUGUGCUGCAAUUCUGCAUAUGUUCGUUCUCUGUGUCCCCACAUUGUUUAAAAAAAUGACACAUGAUGAUAGUAAAAAUUACAUUUGCUCAUUCGAACAUCUUACUGUUUACAUAUAAGAAGCGUCAUGUGCUGAGGUAGAAUGACCUAAUGUGAGAUGUGGCCUUCAGGAGGAGGUGGAUGGGGCCCUCAGAAUCUGCGUCUCUCGCACAAAUAGUCCCCUGAUAUAUAAAAUGAAAACCUUCUUUUGUUUGUAAUGACAGAUGCCAGGGGGGUUGAAUAUUUGGAAAUUAUUUUUUCUCUAGGAGUGUUUAUUAACAAAUGCUUGAAAGUUUUAUGAUGUGGUGAAAAUUGUAUCUCUUGUGAUAAACAGGAAGUGCUCAGAGGUAUUGCAUUACCCUGUAAUGCAACACAGAUUCCAACAGCUUGGCUCUUUUUUUCAAAAUAUGGUGACACCACUUCCUUCAGGAAAUCGCUCUCCUCUGUACUGCUUUUAUCUGCUAUAGAUAUGCAAAAGUGCAAAAGAAAUGUUUGUUUUAAAGAAUGAUGAUUCAUCAGUUUUGGACUGUAGUAAUGGAUGUCUGUAAUAUUUAUACUAUCUAUUAAAAAUAAGCAGCACAGACUCUAUGGGCUAUCAGGUCAGUGGAUUGAACAAAGUGCAAGGAAAAGAGACUGAUACCUCACACAGGACAGGUGCAGCUUAGAGAGCAAACAUCCAGAUUUCCCUGCAGGUGCCCUGAAGUAUGUCUCAGCCAUAAAUCUGGAGGUGCCUCUUCUGCAGUUCCAUGUCAGCAAGUCCAGGACCUGUCCAGCAGAGGAGAAGAGGGAAUCUGCUUCCAUGUGAUCUGCCAGGAAAACUCAGUAGGACAGUUUAUUUUGCGUGUGGAACCUUAUAUUCACAAUCAUUGUGCUACAGCCUCCAAUCUGCUCCUAAAGGCUGCCACACAGUUGUCGUAUGAUGUUGUAUCAAUACUGGCUGAAUUUUAAACCCUGGUGACUUUUAGGUGAAAAUCUCAGAAUGCCAUUAGUGCACUGUCCCUUAUCACUUGUUUCUGUUCAGCCACUGCCCAUUGUUUAUACUAAAUCUAAUCAUAGCAGACAGGUAGGACAUACGUAUGCCAUCACAGUCAUUAGUCAGCAUCACAGUGUACUUGUGAUGGAUGUCACCCCAGCAGACGACAAUGAUGUCAGGGAAAGCAAGUCUUGGUGAGCUCUUUUUAGAAGGCCUGGCAUCAUUCCCCAAACCAGUUCUCCAUGAAGGGACUUGUGUGUCUGCCAAGGGCUUCACAUACACAAAGCUGGAUGCAGUGGGGUCUGAAUGUCACCCCUCCAACUAUGACCCUUCUACUCCCAUUGCUCAGUCCCACUACCUGUUGAUUUUAAUUUACAUUCUUCCCUCCCCAUUCCCUUUUACUCUUUCUUGCAUCACUGUUUCUUCCCUGUCCUCACAUCAGCCAACCUCUUCAUCACAAGUGCUCCCUAAAUUUUUUAGCUAUGAGCAAGAAGUAUUAAAAAUGGAGCUACUGCAAUAUCUGAACAACUUAAAACCCUAAUAAUCCUGUUUCUACAUGCUUUGACUUCUGCCUCUGCUGGAGGCAUCACUUGUCCUGCCUUACAGCUGAACAGAGAACAAGUGGUGGAAACAGGAUGCAUGUUUUAGUAUUUGUAAAUUAUUAUACUUCUGAGGCUUUGUAACAAUUUUAUCUCUUUUUUUUUAAUUAUUUUUUAUUUUCCUAGCAAUCAAUUAUACCAGAAAUACGGAGAUCAGAAGACUGAUAUUAUGCACUAGCUAAAUCUUUUUGUAAGAACUUAAUAGUCUUUCAGUGCAUAAAGCUUCAGCACAAGAAAACAAGGGUCAUAUGCCAGGACCUCAGUGACGACUCACAAGUCACUGCAACAUUCUGUAUAAAUACUGACUUAUAUGUAUGGUUUGUUUCUUCAGUCCUGUAAAAUAACUCUUCAUCCGGUGAUUCAAUUCUCUUAUCAUCCCCGGCUUGUUUACUGAAUUUUAAGUCUUGUGCAAGAUGAAGCAAGCUCAUGAGGAGUAGCUGGUUUUCAAAAGAUACAAGCUUCAGAUAACUGAGGACAAGUAAAGCACACACAACAACAUUGAAAUCACCCAGAGUUUUGUUGCAGCUGACUGAGACAGAGUGUGCUUUGAGGCUGGGAAAUUUCCAUUACUGAACUGCAGGACAGUGCCUGGAUGCUGCUGCUACUGCAGACGAAAACUUAAUUUUACACAGCAACAAAAUGUCGGUAUGUUAAUUAAAAUUGUUAGAAUUAUAUAAUAAGCUUUUAAGGUUGCUGUAAAAUGGAUCCCUUUUAAGAUAUUUAAAGUAUAAUUGUAAACUACAUGUUCAAAACUAAGGAACGUAAAAAUGACUUAAAAUUGCAACUGUGUUUUCAAAUUAUAUUUGUUAAGAGCAAACCUACCCAGAGUAUGAUAGAUAAUACAAGACAUCUCCUGCAACAGUGACAGGUUCUGACAGUGACAGGGUGAUGCCCAGUGCAGGACCAAGGCUGUUACUGACAGCAUCAUUCUGCAAUUAAUAAUCUUUUGUGCUCCCCUUGGCAUGCACAGAACAACAACAGCAAACUGUUUACUAGUUUUAACUUCGUGGUGUCUAAGCCACCAUAAGCUCCCUGCAAACUCCAUCAGAACGUUGAAUGGAGAAGAAAGGAAAUACUGGGGGGAAAACUAAAUUUGUUCUGGUGUCAAGUGUACAGCAAUUUGGGUGAGAGACUGUUUUUAACUUCUCAACAGUGUGCGAUUACAGUGAGACCCUCCUUUUCUUUGAGGUCACUUUACCUGUCAGAGCAGUAGUUGACAUUCAAAUGAAGAUCUCUAGGGAUUUCAGCUCUGUGUCACCCAUUCAAUCCAGUCCAGGUCGGUACUGACUGGAAGUUAUUAGCAUCUGAUGCUCUUUCUGAAUCUUAGAAUAGUUCCCUGUGAUCAGAGCUCAUAUCUGAGCAAUUUCAGGAACCAUCACCAUGGUUCCUGAGUGCCUUAGAAGUUAAAGUAUAUCUUUAUAAAACAUAUUAACGUGUCUUAUUUCUCUCUCUUGUCACCCCCACACAAAGGCUUGAGGUAUUUUUAAAUAAUGCUGGGAAAACUGUAUAUACUUAAUGCCUGUGUUCUACUGGGAUGAUGGGGAGGUUCAGGGUCAUGCUGAUUUAUUCUGAAAGCAAGUGCCAUACUCCUACAGCAGCUACCAAGAAAGCCGUGGCUUCGAUGUCCCAGACAAAUAAUAAAACAAAUUGAUGAUGAUUUGGGGACGUGUGGCCUCAGUUUUGAAUCAGCACAAAAACCUAAAAUCCCUCCCACCCCCACUGAAGAGUGGCACUGUAGAUCAGCUCUGUGGUGUUUGUCCUUGGCCCCAGCCCAACAGUGCUGAUCCCAGGGCUCACAGGACCUUCAUGGAAUGAUGUUCACUUUUCAAGAGGCCUAUUUACAGAACACAAAUUAACAGUUAAAGUAGAUACAUGUAGUACAGGGAAUUUCUAGACCCUCAUUGUAGGAUGAGCUCAUCCAUGUGACUCCUGAGCAUCAUACGAAGAUAGAGACAAUCCAAACUAUGGCAUGUUUACACAGACUGAUUAUAUGGCUUAGUUGUUUCCUAAUAUACCUAUUAAACUGCAGAGACUGUGUUUCUGCUUUGACAAACUCUUCUUAAAGGUGCUUUGAUUUCUGUUUGAAAUAAGGGGUUUUUUUCCCUCCUGCUUCUCAUUAUCUGCCAUCAUUUUUAGUAAGUAUCAUCUCUUCUCCCCCGACACAGGCCUUUACUUUAGGCAUGGAACUAAUAAUUUUCUUAAAACACAUUUAUGUUCUUUCCAGAAUUCAGGCUUUAGUGUCACCUUGUUAAGGCAAAAGACUCAGUAUUAAGUGCAGGUACUGGCAGUGUGUUUAAGUAGGUUGAAAAGCAACUGAUACUACUCCUGUCUGCUCUCAGCAACGGCAGAGCUUCACUGAAAUACGUGCACUGAGUUCUGUCAUGGGAGGGGUUUUUGGGAAAGCAUUCCAUAGGUUCUGACUGCUAAUUUGGGUUUAAUUGGAUUAGACAUAUAUUUGAACACAGCACUCAAAGGAGCUGACAGUCUUUACACAAUUUCCUGGCCUGCCUGGUUGGUUUCCUUUUUGAUCAGGUACAUCCCAGUGAAGGUAGAAAAUA